rnacentral:rRNA from 1 species
GAUGAACGCUAGCGGCAGGCUUAAUACAUGCAAGUCGAGGGGCAGCAUGGUGUAGCAAUACACUGAUGGCGACCGGCAAACGGGUGCGGAACACGUACAGAACCUUCCUUCGAGCGGGGAAUAGCCCAGAGAAAUUUGGAUUAAUACCCCAUAGUACAACGGAGUGGCAUCGCUUUGUUGUUAAAGAUUUAUCACUUGAAGAUGGCUGUGCGGCUGAUUAGGUAGUUGGCGGGGUAACGGCCCACCAAGCCUGCGAUCAGUAACUGGUGUGAGAGCACGACCAGUCACACGGGCACUGAGACACGGGCCCGACUCCUACGGGAGGCAGCAGUAAGGAAUAUUGGUCAAUGGACGAAAGUCUGAACCAGCCAUGCCGCGUGGAGGAUGAAGGUCCUCUGGAUUGUAAACUUCUUUUAUAUGGGACGAAAAAAGGCUUUUCUAGGUCGUCUGACGGUACCAUAUGAAUAAGCACCGGCUAACUCCGUG